UACGUAGGGAGCAAGCGUUGUCCGGAAUCAUUGGGCGUAAAGCGCGCGUAGGUGGCCCGGUAAGUCCGCUCUGAAAGUCACAGGCUCAACCUGUGAAAGCGGGUGGAUACUGCCGGGCUAGAGUCCGGAAGAGGCGAGUGGAAUUCCUGGUGUAGCGGUGGAAUGCGCAGAUAUCAGGAGGAACACCGGUGGCGAAGGCGGGUCUCUGGGCCGAUACUGACGCUGAGGAGCGAAAGCGUGGGGAGCGAACAGG
rnacentral:rRNA from 1 species